rnacentral:lncRNA from 1 species
AGUGCCAAUUUGUCUUUAAUAUUGGAUUUAAACAUGGAUACAAUUUCAACUUCAUGAAUUGCAUUUGGACUAAAACGCUUAACCGCUUCUCCCAGUUUCCAACUCCGAACCCUGCCUCUAAUUCGAUAGACAGGCCUAUCUAUGUUACAUUACAAUAUGAUACUUCUGUACACCAUACACUUACCAAAGCCCUAAGACAUACAAACUAUAGGAUAAUUAAUAAACGGGGCCCCACUGCCUUCCAAACACUUCGUAAUGAUAAAGACCCUAUACCCCCUGAUAGAAGACCUGGUAUAUAUACUAGCCCUAUGAAUAAUAA